rnacentral:rRNA from 1 species
AGUGAACGCUGGCGGUAGGCCUAACACAUGCAGGUCGAACGGCGGCACAGGAGAGCUUGCUCUCUGGGUGGCGAGUGGCGGACGGGUGAGGAAUACAUCGGAAUCUACUCUGUCGUGGGGGAUAACGUAGGGAAACUUACGCUAAUACCGCAUACGACCUACGGGUGAAAGCAGGGGAUCUUCGGACCUUGCGCGAAUGAAUGAGCCGAUGUCGGAUUAGCUAGUUGGCGGGGUAAAGGCCCACCAAGGCGACGAUCCGUAGCUGGUCUGAGAGGAUGAUCAGCCACACUGGAACUGAGACACGGUCCAGACUCCUACGGGAGGCAGCAGUGGGGAAUAUUGGACAAUGGGCGCAAGCCUGAUCCAGCCAUACCGCGUGGGUGAAGAAGGCCUUCGGGUUGUAAAGCCCUUUUGUUGGGAAAGAAAUCCAGCUGGCUAAUACCCGGUUGGGAUGACGGUACCCUAAGAAUAAGCACCGGCUAACUUCGUGCCAGCCGCCGCGGUAA